CUGAAAACCGUGGAUUAUUUUAUUUGAAGCCAAACACUUGCGCGACAACAAACGGUAUCGUCGAGUAAGGGAUUUUUUAUUUGACACCAAAUACAUGCGCGACGAUAAGGGAUAUGUCGUCGAGUAAGCAUUCUAUGUUUGGCAAGUGAAAACUAAUAACUUGCAUGAUUAUGUACAUAUUUUCAUUAUGAUUAGCAUCGGCCAAGAUCCGUUGCGGGUCAUUGACAAAGGAUGGUCUAUUUAUCCUAUCAUACUCCUACGUAGUGGUGGACGCACGUUGGGACAAGAGGGGUCCGACGACCCCUUGGAAGGCUGAAAAAUUGGCAAGGGACUCCAUGAAAGCCCCCUUGGACAGCUGCUGGACGACCCCUGGUAUGCACACCAACUGCUUGACGAAAGUCCCAGGCCAUUUUUUCUUCUGUUGCGCAGCUGCGCUGUGCCUUCCACGCGUGAGCUACGCAUCCUUUUUUAUUUUUAUUUUUAAAUGAGCCUUGCCAAACGACGUCGUUUGGUCCAAGGCUCAGUCAAUUUUUUUUCAAAACGACGUCGUUUUGGGCCAGAGUUAAAAAAAGAAAAAAAAAAUACAGGAUCACUUACCCGAAUGCACAGCACCUCCAAACCCUUCAUUCCCAAUUUCACAGCUCUUCCCACCCUCUCAAACCCUAACCUCUCCUAAUCUCCCAACCCACCCUUCAUUCCCAAUCUCCCAACCCUUAUAGUGAUAAUAUAUAUUGUUGAUAUUGAUAUUUUUUUAUGUAAUGAAAUUUAUGUAUAUGAAUCAUAUUGAUGGAUAAUGUAGAUUGAUUGAGUUUAUGCUUGAUUGAUAAUGUAAA
rnacentral:lncRNA from 1 species